rnacentral:misc_RNA from 1 species
AUAGUCAUCCUGAUCACCCCAUUGAACAGUUAGCGAUUCGUAAUCCCAAUAUUCCCUAGGACGAAGCACAUUGAUAUCGGUGUAUACUCGAGCUUUGGACAUGGUUUAUCCGGAAAUCAGAGACUGAAGAGUUAUUGAUAAAGGUAUCGGAUUUCGGAAAAGGGACAACAAAGAAGACGCAGGCUGGGUAGAUGCAAAGAAGGAAUUGGGCCCCGCUUCUGUUUGAUGCAACCGCCAGAGCAAUAACACUACUUUACUCACACACCAUUUUUAGGAAAAAGCCAUAGAUUGGGAAAGCUUUUUGCUCUCUCUUGUAUGCUGCCUGG